UACGGGGGGGGCAAGCGUUGUUCGGAAUUACUGGGCGUAAAGGGCUCGUAGGCGGCCAACUAAGUCAGACGUGAAAUCCCUCGGCUUAACCGGGGAACUGCGUCUGAUACUGGAUGGCUUGAGUUUGGGAGAGGGAUGCGGAAUUCCAGGUGUAGCGGUGAAAUGCGUAGAUAUCUGGAGGAACCCCGGUGGCGAAGGCGGCAUCCUGGACCAACACCGACGCUGAGUGAGCGAAAGCCAGGGGAGCAAACGGG
rnacentral:rRNA from 1 species